CAUAUGUGGAGUUGAAGAAACAAAACAAAUGAGUAUGGGGAAAAAAUAGAGAGGCACACCGAGAGAAAAAGACUCUUAACCAUAGAGAACAACUGAUCGUUACCAGAAGGGAUAUGGUUGGGGGGAUGGGUUAAAUGGGUGAUGGGGAUUAAGGAGGGGACUUGCUGUGAUGAGCACUGGUAAUAAUCAAAAUUUAUAA